GCUGCGUUUUUGGGCUGGCUAACUCCUGUCAUUCCUGUUUCUUUAACCACGCAAUACAGAGACUCACCUUUCAGUUUGCUGAACUGAAAUUACUUGCUGAAGGCCAUGAUCCAAUUUGUGUUGAAGUCAAUGGAAGUCACUCCAAUUAUUUCAACUGGAUCAGCAGGAUCUGCAAAGCCACCCAGGGCUUGAAGGCUCCUGACUGCAAAAGCCUGAUGGGAAACUCUGGAGUCCAUUGACACAAGUUUGAUGAACUUCUCCCAG